AACGCGAAGAACCUUACCUGGCCUUGACAUGCUGGUAGUAGAAGCCGGAAACGGUGACGACUCCUCGCAAGAGGAGAGCCAGCACAGGUGCUGCAUGGUUGUCGUCAGCUCGUGUCGUGAGAUGUUGGCUUAAGUCCCGCAACGAGCGCAACCCCUGUGUCCUGUUGCCACUCCCGAGAAAUCGGGAAGCACUCUGGACAGACUGCCUCGCUUCAACGAGGAGGAAGGUGGGGAUGACGUCAAGUCAGUAUGGCCCUUACGGCCAGGGCUGCACACGUACUACAAUGCACGGUACAAAGGGAAGCAAGAGCGUAAGCUGGAGCAAAUCCCCCAAAACCGUGCCCAGUUCAGAUUGUCGUCUGCAACUCGACGGCAUGAAGCUGGAAUCGCUAGUAAUGGCGCAUCAGCUACGGCGCCGUGAAUACGUUCCCGGGCCUUGUACACACCGAGUAUA
rnacentral:rRNA from 1 species